rnacentral:rRNA from 1 species
GAACGCGAAAGUCCCGCAAGGGAUGAGUAGAGUGGCAAACGGGUGAGUAACACGUGGGUGACCUGCCUUCGAGUGGGGGAUAACGUCCCGAAAGGGACGCUAAUACCGCAUGACAUCCCGCCUUUGAACAGGCGGAGCUUAAAGCUGGGGUCGCAAGACCUAGCGCUUGAAGAGGGGCCCGCGCCUGAUUAGCUUGUUGGUGAGGUAACGGCUCACCAAGGCUACGAUCAGUAUCCGGCCUGAGAGGGCGGACGGACACACUGGGACUGAGACACGGCCCAGACUCCUACGGGAGGCAGCAGUGGGGAAUUGUUCGCAAUGGGCGCAAGCCUGACGACGCAACGCCGCGUGGAGGAUGAAGAUCUUCGGGUCGUAAACUCCUUUCGAUCGAGACGAACGGCUUUCGGGUGAACAAUCCGGAAGAGUGACGGUACCGAGAGAAGAAGCCCCGGCUAACUCCGUG